rnacentral:rRNA from 1 species
AGUGAACGCUGGCGGUAGGCUUAACACAUGCAAGUCGAACGGCAGCACAGUAAUUGCUUGCUCUUACGGGUGGCGAGUCGGGGACGGGUGAGGAAUACAUCGGACUCUACUUUUUCGUGUGGGUUAACGUAGGUAAACUUACGCUAAUACCGCAUACGACCUACGGGUGAAAGCAUGGGAACUUCGGACCUGGCGGGAUUGAAUGAGCCGAUGUCGGAUUAGUUAGUUGGCGGGCUAAAGGCCUACCAAGGCGACGAUCCGUAGCUCGUGUGAGAGGCUGAUAAGCCACACGGGAGGGGGGACACGGACAAGAGUCCUACGGGACGCAGCAGUGGGGAAUAGUAGACAACAGGCGCAAGUAUGGUCCAGCCAUACCGCGUGGGUGGAGACGGCGUUCGGGGUGUGAAGACCUUUUGUUGGGAAAGAAAAGCAGCAGGUUAAUACGACGCUGUUGUGACGGUAACCAAAGAAUAAGCACCGGCUAACUUCGUG